CCUACGGGUGGCAGCAGUGAGGAAUAUUGGUCAAUGGGCGGAAGCCUGAACCAGCCAAGUAGCGUGCAGGAUGACGGCCCUACGGGUUGUAAACUGCUUUUAUACGGGAAUAACGCGCCUUACGUGUAGGGCUUUGCAUGUACCGUAUGAAUAAGGACCGGCUAAUUCCGUGCCAGCAGCCGCGGUAUACGGAAGGUCCGGGCGUUAUCCGGAUUUAUUGGGGUUAAAGGGAGCGUAGGCCGCAUGUCAAGCGUGCUGUGAAAUGUCCGGGCUCAACCCGGGGCUUGCAGCGCGAACUGGCGUGCUUGAGUCCGCGGAAGGCAGGCGGAAUUCGUCGUGUAGCGGUGAAAUGCUUAGAUAUGACGAAGAACCCCGAUUGCGAAGGCAGCUUGCUGCAGCGGAACUGACGCUGAUGCUCGAAAGCGCGGGUAUCGAACAGGAUUAGAUACCCGGGUAGUC
rnacentral:rRNA from 1 species